CUAGUCUCCCAGUGUCCCCUAGUCUCCCAGUGUCCCCUAGUCUCCCAGUGUCUGUGUUCCCAUGUCUGUGUCCCUAGUGUCUUAGAGUCCCCAAAUGUUUCAGUGUCCCCAUGUCUCCCAGUGUCUGUGUCUCAGUGUCCCCAUUUCUCCCAGUUUCCCUAAAUGUCUCAGUGUCCCCAUGUCUCCCAGUGUCCCCAUGUCUCUCAGUGUCCCCAGUAUCCUAGUGACAUGGGGACACACUGAGACAUUGGGACACUGGGAGAAAUGGGGACACUGGGAGAAAUGGGGACACUGACACUGUGAUACAUAAGGACACUGAGACACUGGGUGACUUGCGAGACUGAGACACUGGGAGACAGG